CAGUGUACUUGGGGCUUCAGUUUUUCUCGCUGUGGGCUGCCACUACCAUUGCUGUUUGCUGAGGGUGGGAGCUGGGGUACCAGUGGUCUUCUAGUGUGAGUAUUCCACCCAGCAUUUAGCGGUACCUGCACCCCUGUGUAAUGGGGUGGGACCUCCUAUCUGUGCUUGGUCUCGGGCAGGACUUCCUGCAGCUCCUCCUGGAAUAAGGAGCAUUAGUUCUCCUCUCCCACAGUUGCAGUAUUUUUGCUGGGCCCACAGGGUGGACAGGCUUUGGGGCCCCUCCACCAGCAGGUUAAGCCUUUUGCUUUGCAUGAGAAAAGGGCCCAGCAGAGUGCUUGAUGAUUCAUGGCUGUCUGUCAGUUGCUUCUGCCUGCUAUGAGAAAUCUGUCCUGUUUUUCCUGACCAUCUUUCUUGAAGCACCCAUGGGAGGCAGGUACCCUGUGGAAGUCAGAAGGUUGCCUAGGAAUGUGAGCUCCCUGUGUUGGGGACAUCUGGCUUUGUUUGAGCCACCCCAUACUCGUCCCAGCCACCAUCUGGCCCUGGGCAGCUGGCUACAAUUCGAGCUGAUUUCUCCCUACCGUUACGUGCUAGCAGGUGUCCUGUCCAUCCGGGCUCUGCUGAGGGGCAGUUCUCUUUCCCGUCUUGGGAAGUUAGGUUAUUUGUGUGCUUUGCAACCCCAGCUCUCUGAUGGGCUCAAGAAAAGAUCUUGAAGUUUAUGUAGCUUUUUCUACUGUAGGGUCAGUGACGUUCUUGGCAGUUUUCUGUAUUCUAAGCAGAAACUGAUGUCCUGUUUGGAAUUUUUAUUUUGAAUUUUGUCAGAAAAUAAGUGUGUCUGUUUCAGGAUGCAUAUUUGUAUACACAGGUGCAUUUAUCAUUGCUGCAUAAUCUAUAUUCAUGUUACAGUUGACUUCGUACUUAUUAGAAAUGUAAAUCAUCUUGAACAUAAAAUCUGAAAGGCAAAAGUCUCACAUCCAAGGUAUUUCUUCAAGGCCAUCAUUGAAGCUUGCAGGUUAGCCUGGUAGAUGUCAUGAAAGUCUCAGGGCCCCUCAGAUGUGAUGGGAAGGUUGCUGGAGGACACCCUCCCUCUGUUAUCCCUAGCAAAUCCCUUCCAGGAAGGCUCCUCAGAGCCUUGACAGGUACACAGUGGACUCCCUCCCUCUGCGGGGACUUCUUACUGAGAAACUUGAUUGUAGAUGGAAGCUUCUCAGCACAUUCCAAACUGUGACCAUGGAUCAGUGUGGGCCAUGUUCCAGUUGAACAUACUAGGAAGUGCUUUGCUCUGUCUCAGUCCCCAUGGAUGCAGAACUCUACAGCUUUUGUUUUCCUUACACUCUAAGGAACUUGAAUAGCAUGUAAGUGCAUUUCCAGAUACACAGAGACUGGAGUAACUGUAUAGGAGAGGUCUGCUUAAUCGCUCCUCUUUGCAUAUGUUUGAGACAGGUGCUCAGUAAUCCAGUAUUACAGAUGAUUUAAAUGGGUAACCUAUUUUCAUUUGUCUCGCUGAUUUUUAAACGUUGUCUUUUUGUAAUUCCUUUUUGUAGACAGCUGAUUUUACUUCUAGAGUUAUAUAGUCCCAGAGAUGUUUAUGACUACUUACGUCCCAUUGCUCUGAAUCUGUGUGCAGACAAAGUUUCUUCUGUUCGUUGGAUUUCCUACAAGUUGGUCAGCGAGAUGGUGAAGAAGCUGCACGCGGCAACACCACCAACGUUCGGAGUGGACCUCAUCAAUGAGCUUGUGGAGAACUUUGGCAGAUGUCCCAAGUGGUCUGGUCGGCAAGCCUUUGUCUUUGUCUGCCAGACUGUCAUUGAGGAUGACUGCCUUCCCAUGGACCAGUUUGCUGUGCAUCUGAUGCCGCACCUGCUAACCUUAGCAAACGACAGGGUUCCUAAUGUGCGAGUGCUGCUUGCAAAGACAUUAAGACAAACUCUGCUAGAAAAAGACUAUUUCUUGGCCUCUGCCAGCUGCCACCAGGAGGCUGUGGAGCAGACCAUCAUGGCUCUUCAGAUGGACCGUGACAGCGACGUCAAGUAUUUUGCAAGCAUCCACCCUGCCAGUACGAAAAUCUCCGAAGAUGCCAUGAGCACAGCGUCCUCAACCUACUAGAAGGCUUGAAUCUCGGUGUCUUUCCUGCUUCCAUGAGAGCCGAGGUUCAGUGGGUGUUCCCCACGCAUGUGACCUGGGAUAGCUUUCAGGGGAGGAGAGACCUUCCUCUCCUGCGGACUUCAUUGCAGGUGCAAGUUGCCUACACCCAAUACCAGGGAUUUUAAGAGUCAAGAGAAAGUACAGUAAACACUAUUAUCUUAUCUUGACUUUAAGGGGAAAUAAUUUCUCAGAGGAUUAUAAUUGUCACCGAAGCCUUAAAUCCUUGUGUCUUCCUGACUGAAUGAAACUUGAAUUGGCAGAGCAUUUUCCUUAUGGAAGGGAUGAGAUUCCCAGAGACCUGCAUUGCUUUCUCCUGGUUUUAUUUAACAGUCGACAAAUGAAAUUCUUACAGCCUGAAGGCAGACGUGUGCCCAGAUGUGAAAGAGACCUUCAGUAUCAGCCCUAACUCUUCUCUCCCAGGCAAGGACUUGCUGGGCUCUGUGGCCAGCUGUCCAGCCCAGCCCUGUGUGUGAAUCGUUUCUGACAUGUGCCAAUGGGAAAGGAGGGGUUUUUUACAUCUCCUAAGGGCCUGAUGCUAACACAAGUAGGAUUGACUUUAACUCUUAAGCGCAGCAUAUUGCUGUACACAUUUACAGAAUGGUUGCUGAGUGUCUGUGUCUGAUUUUUUCAUGCUGGUCAUGACCUGAAGGAAAUUUAUUAGACGUAUAAUGUAUGUCUGGUGUUUUAACUUGAUCAUGAUCAGCUCUGAGGUGCAACUUCUUCACAUACUGUACAUACCUGUGACCACUCUUGGGAGUGCUGCAGUCUUUAAUCAUGCUGUUUAAACUGUUGUGGCACAAGUUCUCUUGUCCAAAUAAAAUUUAUUAAUAAGAUCUAUAG
rnacentral:sRNA from 1 species